rnacentral:rRNA from 1 species
CCUACGGGUGGCAGCAGUGAGGAAUAUUGGUCAAUGGGCGGGAGUCUGAACCAGCCAAGCCGCGUGAGGGAAGAAGGUACAGCGUAUCGUAAACCUCUUUUGUCAGGGAACAAAGGCGGGGACUAGUCCCCGUAUGAGUGUACCUGAAGAAAAAGCAUCGGCUAACUCCGUGCCAGCAGCCGCGGUAAUACGGAGGAUGCAAGCGUUAUCCGGAUUUAUUGGGUUUAAAGGGUGCGCAGGCGGCCGGUUAAGUCAGCGGGAAAAGCCCGGGGCUCAACCCCGGAGAGCCGUUGAAACUGGCGGGCUGGAGUGGGAGAGAAGUAAGCGGAAUGCGUGGUGUAGCGGUGAAAUGCUUAGAUAUCGCGCAGAACCCCGAUUGCGAAGGCAGCGUACCGGCUUCACACUGACGCUGAGGCACGAAAGCGUGGGUAUCGAACAGGAUUAGAUACCCCAGUAGUC